CUGACCAAUGGCGUUAAAGACAGAGAGAGCCACACAUCUCGAGAUUUCGGCCGUGAUGAAUGAAGCUUCACGGUCAGCGCUGUGGUUUGAGAGAGCAGAGAGGGAGAGCAAAGGGAGUAAAAUUAUGGAGUAUGGCAAUAAGUGGGGAGAUUGACAUGAAAAUAUUUAAUGUGGGUGUUUAUUUGGAGAGGAUUUUGGCAGUGAGCAUGUCCCUGACUUCUUUCAUUUGCUACUCAGUAAACACUUUUCAGCAUGGAAGAGAAUCCCUGAGUUUUGUAAAGGAGAAAACAAAGACACCAUCCUCCAAAUACUGAGCCUGCUGAGAGGUCUGCCGUGCUAAGCUAUUGGUUGCUAAGUUAUUAUUGGACAGCGCUGUUUGGGUAAGGGGUUUAGUGAAUGGUCAAUUAGUGCCUGAUGUGUCAUUUCCUGACUGAAACGUGUGUUUUUAAUUAUUUCUCUGUAAUCACAGAACAUUGUGUUCUCUUAUUAAAUAAAUGGUACUUGGAGGACA